GAUGAACGCUGGCGGCGUGCCUAAUACAUGCAAGUCGAGCGAACAGAUGAGGAGCUUGCUCCUCUGACGUUAGCGGCGGACGGGUGAGUAACACGUGGAUAACCUACCUAUAAGACUGGGAUAACUUCGGGAAACCGGAGCUAAUACUGGAUAAUAUAUUGAACCGCAUGGUUCAAUAGUGAAAGACGGUUUUGCUGUCACUUAUAGAUGGAUCCGCGCCGCAUUAGCUAGUUGGUAAGGUAACGGCUUACCAAGGCAACGAUGCGUAGCCGACCUGAGAGGGUGAUCCGCCACACUGGAACUGAGACACGGUCCAUACUCCUACGGGAGGCAGCAGUAGGGAAUCUUCCGCAAUGGGCGAAAGCCUGACGGAGCAACGCCGCGUGAGUGAUGAAGGUCUUCGGAUCGUAAAACUCUGUUAUUAGGGAAGAACAAAUGUGUAAGUAACUAUGCACGUCUUGACGGUACCUAAUCAGAAAGCCACGGCUAACUACGUG
rnacentral:rRNA from 1 species